rnacentral:rRNA from 1 species
UGCAGUCGAGCGGUAGCACAGGGAGCUUGCUCCUGGGUGACGAGCGGCGGACGGGUGAGUAAUGUCUGGGAAACUGCCUGAUGGAGGGGGAUAACUACUGGAAACGGUAGCUAAUACCGCAUAACGUCGCAAGACCAAAGAGGGGGACCUUCGGGCCUCUUGCCAUCAGAUGUGCCCAGAUGGGAUUAGCUAGUAGGUGGGGUAACGGCUCACCUAGGCGACGAUCCCUAGCUGGUCUGAGAGGAUGACCAGCCACACUGGAACUGAGACACGGUCCAGACUCCUACGGGAGGCAGCAGUGGGGAAUAUUGCACAAUGGGCGCAAGCCUGAUGCAGCCAUGCCGCGUGUAUGAAGAAGGCCUUCGGGUUGUAAAGUACUUUCAGCGAGGAGGAAGGCGUCGUACUUAAUACGUGCGGCGAUUGACGUUACUCGCAGAAGAAGCACCGGCUAACUCCGUGCCAGCAGCCGCGGUAAUA